rnacentral:snRNA from 1 species
AGCUUUGCGCAGUGGCAGUAUCGUUGCCAAUGAGGUUUAUCCGAGGAGCGAUUAUUGCUAAUUGAAAACUUUCUUGUCUGUAGGCACGUCAACUCUUUAAAGAGCUCUACAUUGAUCCGUCAAAAGUUCACAAUUUGUUGCAGUUGGGAUUUACUGCCCA